GUGUUAGUACCAAGGAGUAGAGAUACAAUGAGUGUAUUUGUUUUCAUGUUCCUUAAGAGGGAAUGCACUAGCAAUUGAAGGUAAAAUAGAUACAAAUCAAGUAAACCAUUAUGUUUUCAGUCAUUAUGUCACUUUGAACAACAAUUUGUUUAAUCAUUUUGCGAUAGCUUGUUGCUUGGAACUGUCUUAUUUUUAGUGUUCAGUGUAUUUAUUUAUGGGAGUGUAUACAUAUUCCAGGGUGUUCUAGUUCCUCAGGGAAAAUCUGGAUGGUAUAGAAGAAUUUUGUUCUUUAUUAUGAGUCCAUUUAUAAUUUCAUCUUUUUUUUAAAAAAAGGCGUUUUUCCUACAGUCAGACAUUUUGAGUGUGACUUUUGUUGUGAGAAAAAAAAUUGUGAAGACGUUGUAAAGAUUGGUAAUGAGGAAGGUGACUUGACUGGGUAUCACAGACUUACAAAAUCUUAUAUGUGUUUAGAGUUAUGUUAAUGGCACAUUUAUAAGCAAAGUAAUGUCAUGGAAUAGAAGACCUGUAAGUUGACAUGAGAAACAGAAAGUGUAUUAAAGUUAUCUGCAAUCCUGGGGGUAGAUUGUUAGCCAAAUGAGUAGGAAAUUAGAUUCAUCUCUCAUGGUAUGUAGCAUGAAGAAUUUAAAAUGAAUCAGAGGUUUAAAUUAAAAACUGCAGAAAUUAUACAGUUUCAGAAAGCAAAUGAAUGUCUCUCCAAUUUUGAGGAAAUUACUGAUGAUACACAUUGUAGAAGCAACAAGAAACAAAGAUUGAUAGUAAAAAUGAAAUGACAAAGUUGAAAAAGUUAGUUGUGACAUCACAUAAGAAUACCUUUGGUAUAUGUAAGAUAUAAUAUAAUUGGGGAAAAAUACCAGCUCAAAGGAAAAGUGACUUGAGCACAUAGUUCACUAAAAAAAUACAAAGUGCUAUUAACCAUAUAAAAGGGUUCUUGGAUUUGCUCAUAAUAAGGAUAAUGACAAUUGAAAAUACAGCUAAGAUAUAAUUAGUUUCUCUACUAUCAGAUUAGCAAGAGUCCAAAGUUUGACAACAUUUUUUUUUUGGCAACAUGUUGGGAAUUAUGGAAAAUCAUACGUUGCUGCUAGUGAUAUAAAAUGUAAAACAUAUGGGUAGGAAUUUAAUAUUUUGUAAAUUUAUAUCAUCUGUGGCAAAAAACGUAAUUCAUCUUCUAGUAAUACGUAGCAGUAAGAAUGAUUGAUGGAUGUUUGUAUACCACUAUGUGAUAAUGUCUUGGAUAUAAUGUAGAGACAGGGGAGAUGUAGGCUACAGAAAGUAAAAAUGGUAAUAUGGUGCUUAGGGUGCUUUCAUCAUCAUAAUAGAUAACCAUGUUUGUUAAUGGUGCCCUGGGUAGUAACUGCAAUUGUACUGGGUUUUCAACAGAAUUUUGUCAAAAUGGGAUGCUGCAUGAGCUAAUGAGUUGUGGAAUAAAUAGGUUUUUAUUGUGGAAUAAUAAGUCAAACAAAGAAGGGGGUUUUGCAGUAUCUUAGGAAGAAGAACAGACAUUCCGGAUAAAGUUCCUUUAAUACAAAGAUAGCAUUUUUAAAUACUUGGAGUAGUGAGUGAAGCAGCUUUCUCUACGAGAGCAGGGCAGUUCCCAAAUAAAUCCCAGCCUCCUCUCUUCUGUUAAUUUCUUCGGAAGAACUUGAGGUAGCUUUUGAAGUAUUUGUCGAAGGUUGCAAACUCCUCAGGGGGAGGCCAGGCAUGGUGCCUCACACCUGUAAUCCCAGCACUUUGGGAAGCCGAGGCGGGAGGAUCACCUGAGGUCAGCAGGUCAAGGUGAGCCUGGCCAACAUGGCGAAACCCCAUCUCUAUCAAAAAUAUAAAAUUUAGCUGGGUGUGGUGAUGCGUGCCUGUAAUCCUGGCUACUUGGGAGGCUUGAAGGAGGAGAAUCACUUGAACCCAGAAGGCAGAGGUUGCAGUGAGACAAGAUCAUGCCACUGCACUCCAGCCUGGGUGAUAAAAUAAGACUCCUUCUGAAAAAAAAAAAAAAAAAAAAAAAAAGGAAACCCGAGAUUCUGCUUAACAGUUAUAAAGUCAGAAGGUAUGAAGAUUAUUUGAAGUUAGGCCUGUGGACUGGCUGAUUGGAUCUUCAGUAGUAUGAGAAAGUUUAGUUAAGCCAAGGCACUAUGUAAAACUCCAAGCUGUACGGAGCUCUGCCUGGCCAGCUGGUUGGCACUUGGGUAAUGGGGAAUGAUAAGUGGUUAAUUGCUUCACUGAAUGACUGGAUUAAUGGUAGGAUGAAUGGAUAAAUUAACAGAUGGGAAUGGGUAUAUAAAUGGGUAUAAGAUCAGGAAUAAUAAUGGAAUCACAAGUAGAUGAUGUGCAAAUGGGACUGUAUGUGUGGAUUGAUGGAUGGAUGGAUCUUGAAUGCAUUUUUGAUGAAAUUAAGGAACAAGAAUAAAUAUAUGAAGUAUGGUAUACAUGUAAGCAUGUUUGUGUGUGUGUAUGUGGGUGUAUAGAUUGAUGCAAGAGUGGAAGGGGAGUAAGGAUAAAAGCUUUGGACAGCUAUAUUGACAACGCAAAAUAAACUGAAGGUGGAUGUAUGAAUGUAUGAAUUUGAUGGAUAUGUGCCUGAAAGAAUGUAUGGAUAGGUCAGUUUAGGAAAGGAUCAGUAAUGAUUGUAAUCAUGUAAUUCUCACAGUAACUGUUCAACAGUGACUGUUAAGGAUGCUGCGUGCUCAUGGCAGUAACUCAUGGGCCAACGUCACUAAGACUAAUGCUUCUUACUGCUUUUAUGACAGCAUAAGGUUUUAUUUUUCACUGUGGCUUUGGUAGAGUUAUGGAAAAUCAUCCAUUGUCUCUUAAAUACGUAAUGAUAAAUUGGGUAAAGGAAUUGGGUAAAUCCCAUGACUUACCAAAACUUCAGGAGAUUUAGGAGCUGUAUUUAUGCUUUCUCAAGGAAGGGAUAAAAAGGACACAUUAAACACUGAUAAUGCUUACUGUAGGAUACUUUUGUGGUCUCACAAACUAGGUGUACUUUCUACUUAAAUGAAAACUUUAUCCCCUUCACAGGGGGAACCAACAAAAACCUCAUCCGGGUAAAAAUCCAGCGUCUCAGUGAUGCUAUCUCCCUAUCAUGAGGUAAUUCACAGUAAUCUGUACCUCAUGUCUCAGUGUACCUACUAUUGGCCCAGAGAUAGGUGAAACUUAAAGAUAAUUGUAUCUUGGCUGGGCACAAUGGCUCAUGCCUGUAAUCCCAGCACUUUGGGAGGCCGAGGCUGGUAGAUCAUGAGGUCAGGAGUUCAAGACCAGCCUGGCCAACAUGGUGAAACCCGUCUCUACUAAAAAUACAAAAAACAGCCCGAUGUGGUGUUGUGCGACUGUAAUCCCAGCUACCCAGGAAGCUGAGGCAGGAGAAUUGUUUGAACCAAGGAGGCAGAGGUUACAGUAAGCUGAGAUUGUGUGCCAUUGCACUUCUGCCUGGGCAAUAGAGUGAGACUCCAUCUCAAAAAAAAAAAAAAGAUAAUUGAAUCUCAUUUCCCUUUGUACAAUGUACAAUUAGCAGGGUCAGGGAAACCAUAAUACACCUCCAAACUCUAAGCUGUCAAAUGUGAGAGUAAUCACUUUUCCAUAGAAAUUUUGAAAUCCCUCUGGAAAUACAUUGUGAAGGCUCCCUAUACUGGGCUAGAGAGUGUUUUAUUAGGUCCUGGAAGAUGCUCACUUUUUCCUUGUUUUCCCUGGCUGUAGCUUUUACCUCUGGCACACUUUCCCAAUCCCCUUAUCCUACUUAAUUAUUUUUGAGAUAGGCAUUGUGGAAGAUGUUUGACUGUUCAUAGAGAUGAUUACUUUAAGUCUUAAAACAAUCAGGGGCUUUUCGUUUCUUUGGAAGUAAAAGUGACCCAUUAAAAAUGUAAAAUGUAUCAUGGGCACAGGAAUUUCAUGGCCUAUAUGUGAUUCUACCUUACAUCUUACCCAUAGUGAUUGUAGAACCAUGUGUUGAUGUGUUAUUUCCAAAAGAGGUGAAUGCCCUUGGAACAGUGAUCUAUCAUAUGGAGCAAAGCUUCCUGGAGAGCCAUCAUAACAGACCCACAGGAAUAUUUUCAUUAGUGAGAAGUAAAUGUGUUAAGCCAGUAAGAUUUUGAAGUGGCCACAACUUCAAUUUAUAGCUGAGGUGGUACCAGUUUAAGAAGUGAGAACUUCUUCACUGACUGAUAUUUGCAUAUAAUUCCAAAUCAUUGUGCUUAUUUACUAUUUUUGUAGACGUCAUUCUUCAAAAGUGCUGCAUCUUUCAUAGUCAAGGAGGACAAAGACAUCUUUCCUGCAGUCUCUUCUUCUGUACUCUCAGGUGGUGACCAUGUGGAUAAUGGGAUUAUAGCCAAAUGGUGGUUUCAUCUACAGCAUCACCAAAAUGCUGUUGUUAUUGCUUCUUUCUGGGAUCUUCUUGCAUCUUUGCUUCUCAAGGGGCACAACUUUUAUAGAAGUAUGUCCAGGAAUAGAAGUGACCUGCUUUUUGGCAAGUAAUUGCCUGGAAUGUUUUUAUGUACUUCUCUGCACUCUCAAUACAUUUCAUGCUUCUCUCUAUUUUUGUGUAUUAACUCAUUGUAUUUCUUAAAUUUAUAUUUUACUUUUCGAAUGGAAGUGAGAUUUGUGUAUGGUAAAUAUAAUUAAUUCAACCCCAUGGACACGCUAGUCACUCUCCAGAUUAUGGCAAGUCUUUCUUAGAAGCAGAGGGCCUUGGUGUGCCAGUGAUUUGUUUUUCCCCCAUGUGUAAGAUACUUUUUUUCCUCAUUUGAAUCAGGAGCCCACAGUUUUUGGACAAGUCUCAAAUGAAAUCUUAAGCAUUUGUGUUGUCUGGACUAGACCUUCUGUAGUAUCCUUUUUGUUAGACCUAGUAUAUUUCAUUCCAGAUCAGGAUCUGAGAGUGACUAUAAUUCACCUCUUUCCAAGUACACAAACUUGGAUGACAUGACAACUGAGUGUGUAAGGGAGAGCGAGACCCUUGCACUGCCAUUUUGAGCCAUUGUGAUCUCAUCUUGUAGAACAUGUUGUAUAAUCAUGUUCUUGGUAUCACUAGUGUUCUUUGGGGCUGGAAUAAAAAUCUUAGUGUACCAAAGAGAUUUCCCCUUUAUCUAUGUAACCUUGGUUUUCCUUUAUUUUCUGUUUAACCUAAGUGGGCUUAAUACAAAAUAGUGUUUACUUGGUGUUUUAAUUGUCUACUUCUGUAACAUAAGCUGCACUGUCCACUGGGGAACUGCUUACCGUAUUGCCCAACCUGUCUAGAUAGGUUUAUACAGGGGAGGCAUUCAGUAAUAUUAACUCUCUAGACCAGUGUUAGCAAUAACAAACAAUUGCUGGAAUUUUAAGACUAUAUUAUCAAUCCCUUUGAUGUCAGUUAAUCCUACCAACACAAGAUUUAAUGGUUUAAAAAUCUUAUGAAUGUAUACAGCCAUUAGUGUCUCCUUAUAUUAUUUUGUUCAUUGGCAGCUAGAUUUUGAGGUAGUUUUACCUGGACAGAAGAUGCUCUUGUACUUCCAAAGUUAAUUUAUCUCAUACUAUUUCUUGUGUUAAUAUUUUCCAAGUUGAGGAUGCUGUCUGGAUAUAAGAAGAUGAGUGUCCUAAUCACACACCUUUACAUUAUAUGAAACAUGAUACAGAGUUUUGUAGUCUGUAUAACAAUAUACAGAGGUCAGCAAAAUUUGUAAAAGAACAGACUGCAUAGGCCAUACUGUUGUAACUACUCAACAUUGCCAUUAUAUGUGAAAUCAGCUAUAACCAAUUCAUAAACAAAUGAAUAUGGCCGUGUUCUAGUAAAACUUACUAACAAAAACAUGUUAGUCCAGAUUUGGACCACAGGCUGUAGUUUUCUGACCUCUGGCUUACAGCAGAAGUUUAUUUGGAUACACGGAAAGCAGAAGCGAGAAAAUGUAUUCCAUCCCGUGUCAUUUUUCUGAAUCCUCAACAUGGGAAUUUAAAGUAAAACAUGGGGCAGAAUCUGCUUUAAGCCUUUGAAUUCUUGGCUCUUAAAACCAGGUUGAGGGUUGUGUGUUUUUAUUCUUUUGUAUCUCCUUUUCACUUAGGCUUGGCACCUAGUUCAUUGAAACAGAGCCAACAAGAAUGAGUGAGUCACUCAGUGAUAAGAAGCAACCUGUGGCCAUUUAUCUACUAUCUUCCAUUCCUACUUCCUAGACUUGAUAAGUAGUAUUUGUAGUAUAGUUGUCAGUAACUUUUUGAGCUUAUAUAAGUUUAUGUGGAAUUCAUUUACAAAUGUGUGAUUAUUAUGAUAGAUGUUAUUUUGUAAAUUUCAAGGUUCUUUAAUGUGGCAUGGACAUGUUUCCAAAUCAAUAAAUAUAGCUUACCCACAGACUUUAUGGGAUGUAAAGUAUGUAUUACAAUGGGUGAAUCCAUUUCUCUGUUUUGGGAAAGCAGGUUCAUUUUUUUUUGUUUUGUUGCUACAUAUAAUGUUGACUAUAUGUAUAUUCUAAUGCAGUUGGUCUCCUAAUUCUACAGGAUAGAUGUCUAGCUGUUGCAUUGUUGGAUCAUCAGUUUCGUUUUAGUUAGAUGCUAUGAAAUUGCUCUUGAAAAUGGUGUCUUCUGCCACCACAGAACGGUGUUGUUAUGAAAGUGCCAAUUUUCAUAAAAACUUGUGCACAAUGGGUAUUAAGAAUUUUUUAGGUCGGGCACAGUAGCUCAAGCCUGUAAUCUCAGCACUUUGGGAGGCCUAGGCAGGUGGAUCACCUGAGAACAGGAGUUCCAGACCAGCCUGACCAACGUGGUGAAAUCCCAUCUCUACUAAAUACAAAAACUUAGCUGGGUGUGGUGGCAUACACCUGUAAUCCCAGCUACUUGGGAGGCUGAGACAGGAGAAUCGCUUGAACCCAGGAGGCGGAGGUUGCAGUGAGCUGAGAUUGCACUACUGCACUCCAGCCUGGGUGACAAGAGCGAAACUCCAUCUCAAAAAAAAAAAAAUUUCUUUAAAUUUGUAACCAAUCUAAUAGGUGAAAAUGGCAUUUUUUAACAUAAGUCUAACUUAAACAAUUAAUGGCCAUGGGUAAAAGAAGAAUCAAAUAAUGCAUGGUUUAUCAGAUAAGGCAGUACUCAAUUUUUCCUCUACUCCCCCCAAAAAUCCUGUUUAUCUGAGUUAGAAAUGAUUAAUAUUAGUGCCGCCUGGAAGUUUAUAAACUCCCUAAGUAUACCUCAUACCAGCGUUUUUCUGACUUUCUAUUUUUGAAAUAAUUUUAGAUUCAGAAUCACAAGACUCACAGAGCAACCUGAUUUACGCUUCACCCAGAUUGACUUUUUAUUCUGCAUCGUUGUGUUCUCCCCUCACUUCCUCUUCUUGCUGUCUCCUCCCUUCAUGUGUUUAUACAUAGUGUUACCAUUUUAUGUAUUAUUGGUGAAUGAUUUACCGACAUUAUCUUCCUGUAAACCAAAACACUUCAACAUUUACUUUCCAAGAGCCUGAGCAUGUUAUAUUGACUUUAGUACAAAUUUCAAAAUCAUGAAAUGUGUCAGUAGUAUAAAAGUAUAACAGCAUACAGUCUAUAUUCACAUUUUACCCAUUUUUCCAGAGGUGUUCUUUAUAGCAGUUUCUUCACUUCUACAACAUCCAGAAAAGGAUCUUCAGUUGCAUUCAGUUGUCAUGUCUCUUUAGUCUUGUUUAAUCUAAAACAGUUUCCUGGACUUUGAUCACAUCAGUAUUUUUAAGAAGUAAUAGCUAACAGUUUUUAAGGAGAUACCUCAGAUUUUGAAUUUUUUGUUUCCUCAUGAAAAGGCUUAAGAUACUCAUUUUGAGCAGAAAUACUUCAGUAUUCUCAGUCUUCCUCAGUGAAUCAUAUCAGGUGACAAACAAUGUCACUUUUUCUCACUUUGAACUACUUUGGUCUCUUGGUUCAAUUGGUGUCCACUGAACUUUUCCACUUUAGUUAACAUUCCUUUGUAAUUAAUUUGGAACUAUACAGGUAUUCUGUUUUUCAUCAAACUUUCACCUAGUAGGUUUAACAUACAUAGGUGACUUUUACCUGAGUCAGUGAUGAUUAGAAAAAAGUCUGUGUUGGCCGGGCCUGGUGACUCACACCUGUAAUACCAACACUUUGGGAGGCCGAGGCAGGCAGAUCAUGAGGUCAGGAGAUCGAGACCAUCCUGGCUAACACGGUGAAACCCCGUCUCUACUAAAAAUACAAAAAAUUAGCCGGGUGUGGUGGCGGUGCCUGUAGUCCCAGCUACUCGGAAGGCUGAGGCAGGAGAAUGGCGUGAACCUGGGAGGCGGAGCUUGCAGUGAGCCGAGAUGGUGCCACUGCACUCCAGCCUGGGUGACAGAGCAAGACUCCGUCUCAAAAAGAAAAAAAAAAAGAAAAAUCUGUGUUACUGCUUAUAUGCAUUAUUUAGUGUCUUGUACUGUAAGGAAGAGUUUGUAUAUCAUGGCCUGUCAGAACAGUCCAGCAAUGUCUUUUAUCAACUGGAAAUUCUGAAAGAAUGAAUAAGGUGGUGAUUUAUGUGAGAAUAUAGGGAAAGGGUUACCCAAAGAGUCUAAUGAAUUUAUGUCUAAACCAUGGAGUGGAAUGUGAGGGGCACAUAGAACCCCAGAGUUGUGAUUCUAAUACAUUGCAUGGUGGAAGGAGAAGAAGUUGUUUUUGGUAAGUGUUUCAUGUAACGUAUCUGUGUAAUGUGUGUGUGCCUUCGUUAUUGGGAGAGUGUUCAACAGUUCACAGUGGAAUAGACUGUGAAGCAUUAUGCUGGAAUCUGGGUUCAGAUUCUAGAUCUGUAUCCUACAUAUCACCAGUGUUUGUUUAUCAAUUUUUGCUUGUCAUUACUUUAAGUUUAUUUAACCCAUUAGAGUAUCCAAGGUUGGCAGUGAAGGGACUGCAUUUGGGAGCUAUCUGAAGACAAAAACUCAGCUUUUUGAAGUUUCUUUCAUGUGUCACCUUACAUGGCCCCUCCCAUUCUCUGUGGAGAAGUUUGUGUACAUUAUUCAGACUACUGUGCAGUGACUGUGUUGUUUAAAACCUAUACAUAGCCAAACUCUGUUCUGUGUUCUCUGUAACUAGGGCAUUAGUCUCCCAGUAGUAAUCCUGCAUCUUAUGCUAGUUAAAGAAGGUUCCCAGAAUAAAGACAUUCUUACUUUUGAACAAUGACUUGGAUAGAUUGAGGAAGUGGUUUUAAUAAUCACUUUGAUAUAUUUCAAAAUCUGGUUCAUUAUUGGUGAGGUGCAGGCCACCUGGUAUUAAUGGAAAUGUGUAAUUUGAAACCAGUGCAGUGGAAUCAGAGGCCUGAACAUGACCUAAGUCUUGGUCAAAAGUGGUCGUCUGAAUGUUCCCUGCUCUCUGUAUGUAACUUUGUACUUAGUCUUCAGUGGCAGGAUUGCAGCAGAGGCCCAGUAAAUAUUGUUCAUUCGAUGUAUGAAGAAAACGGAAGUAAGGCCAAAAAUUACUGAUUGUAAACAAAUGAAGCACCAAGUGAAUAAAUGUACAAAUAGACAAAUAGCCAGCAGGAAAAACAACAACAACAACAACUUGUUACCUAAAGAAUGGAAACCAAAUGGAAAAGGCCACCAGGGACCUAAGCUACUGUUACCGUUUUAAUAUGCAUAUUGUUGCUUUCACAUAUAAUACGGUAAGGGAGUAUCAGAAAACCUGAAUCUGCCUGACUAAAACAUACCUUGUUCCACAAAGCUAUAUAUAUGAGAAUAUUUAAGGUGGUUUAAUACCGAAUUCAUAAAUUCAGCCUCAGUGUAGCAAACUUCUAAAGCUUCCAUGAUGUGAGGGAAGUUUUAACAAACAAUGGAAAUCACAGCACUAAAGUACAUUACUAUUAUGUGAUUCUCUGAUGGUAAUAGAAACUGUGCUGCAGGACACGUUUUGAUUUGGGGAGAAAUGUAGAGUAACUCCACAGAGGAAUUCAUCCUCUCUAAUUUUAAAUCUGAAUGGAACCCACAUGCCCAUACCCUGGAGAUGCAUGUAAGCGAACAACAUGGCUUACUCUGUUAAAAAUAGAAAAGAACCUUCAAUUAAUCAUCCUGUGAACUUGAUAAGAGGAUGCAGAGGAACGUAAAUGCCUCUCUGUAUAUCUGUGAUUGACCUUGGAACACAGUGAGUGCCCUCUAAAGAGUAGCCCAAUAAGUACUGUAUCAUUCCACCAAUCAAAUUAGAUCCUCUUGCUUCCAGUGGGAAGAGAGUGACACAGACCAAGGAAAGCCGAGGAGAAGAUUGUAGCCUUUUAUUUCUCCUUGCAUUUGUUGAGGUUCACUGCUCACUGAUAAACGAUUUGCACAAAAAAAUUCAGACCUCUGACUCUUCUGGUAUUUGAUUUAUCUAGUAAAGUUAAUUCCAAGACAAAAGUGUACAGUUGGUUAAAAAUAUCAGUCUCAUGUUUAUUUGAUGGUUUGAAAUAUUCUUUCCUACAUUGUUGUACCUCGUUUGUCACCUUGGAAUAAAUGACAAUCAUGUUGAUUUUUCCACAAGAUAAUUUGAUUCUAAAAUUCAUUUAUCUUCAGGAAUUAGAGAUUCUAAAAAUGUCAUCUCUCGUGUCUCAUUUAGUCAUUUCCAAGAUUUAGUGGGUGUUCUCCCUAAAUGCCUUGAACAAGAAUGCCUUGUUCAAUGGCUGUAUUUUACUCAUAAUUAACAUGCCAACUGCUUUGGGUUUUUUUUAGGUUUACAAAUUUCUUUUCUGCAGUACUUAACUUUCUAUAUUUUUAUAUAUUAAAACAAGUUAGGUAGGAUAAAGAUCACUGUGGAUGGUAUAAAUACUAAUAGCAAAACUAGAAGUAAGAAGUUGUAUUUACAUAAGUUGUACAUAGGUGUUACAUUAGGUUGUCUUACAUGAAAGUAUUAUGAAGUACUAGGAUUUGGGGUGUAUUUUGAAAUCCUUGCCAGUCCUACAUGAUAAAGCAUUGAAUGGUACCAUAUGAGAGGAGAAGAGGACUGAAACAGGACUCCUUAUGAUUUAGACCUCAACAACUACUAGGGAGGGUUGGUUUUUCUUUGAGUGCAUGAUUUUUAAAAAGACUAUUUUGCCAGUUUUAGUUCCAUAUUAAACCCACAGAUUAAGAUUUUGGUUUUGAAAGUGUAAAUAGGAAGCUUGAGUUGGGGGGUAUUUGGAGAUAGAGAUAAUACGUAAUGGCUGUGGGAAAGGAUGAGAUCUAGAGAUAGAGUGUAUGUGGGAGUAGGAACAUAUGUGCCUGAGACCAUGCUUUGGAUGCUCUGGCAUUUAGAUAUUGACAAAAUGAGGAAGACCCAUUAAAGGAGAUUGCGGCUAGAGUUACUAGGUAAAAACCAAAGGGUUGUAGUGUUCCUGAAGAUACAUGAAGAGUGAGAUUAAAAAUUAAUGAGGCGGCAGUGACUUUUGCAUGGCAGUGAAAGACAGUUCAAUUUGAAAAUUGAGUAUCAUUGAUCUUAGUGCUCUUAUUAUUGAAAAGGUCAAAUUAAAGAAUACCUUUGAGUUGAUGGUCUGUACUAUAAUUAGGUUACCAUUGUUAGCCCAGCAUAGACACAUGCUGAUACCUGUGAGUUGCUCUCAUCAAUUACUAUGUGAAGAUGCAUCCCAGUUGUACAAUUUUAGAUCCUCUUCAUUCCACGUUAUAUGUAUACAAGAUAAAACUUGAUGUUUUCAUUAUAUCCUUUCAAUCUUCUAACAGCAAUCCUUAUGUAGCUUUAUCAUUAGAGUUCCCACUUGCAGUGUCUCUUUCUGUACCUGCAUUCAUCGGCCACAGUAGAGUUUUCAUUAAGGCAGGAUUGCAUUUCAUUGAUUUUGGCUUCUGUCACACAUUUAGCAAAGAUUGUUGAAGGAAAGGAAUGGAUGAGGGGCCAGCUGAAAGAAAAAGUAUCAACCUAAUGAUGGAUAAGUGAAAAAGGGAUGAAGAAAGGAUGGUGCUAGGAAUUGAGGGAGUAAAGCAAGAUAGAAUGUACAAAAGGUAGAAUUUUUAAAGAAAGUUGUAGGACAAGGGUAAGGUGUGUUGAACCUACAUUUAAAAUACAAUAACAUCACUAAAGUUGAGGCCGGGUGCAAUGGCUCACCCCUGUAAUCCCAGCACUUUGGGAGGCCAAGGGGGGCGGAUCACCUCAGGUCAGAAGUUUGAGAUCAUCCUGGCCAACAUGGUGAAACCCCAUCUCUACUAAAAAUACAAAAAUUAGCCAGGCAUGGUGGUGGGCGCCUGUCAUCCCAGUUACUCAGGAGGCUGAGGCAGGAGAAUGGUGUGAACCCGGGGCUGGGAGGUUGCAGUGAGCCAAGAUCAUGUCACUGCUCUCCAGCCUGGGCGACAAGAACGAAACUGUGUCUCAAAAAAACAAAACCAAACCAAACAAACAAAAAAAACCAUCAGUAAAGUCAGGGAGAGAGUACCACUGUGGAAGAUGUUCUUUUCCAGCUUAAUCUGAAGAAGGUAUUGACCAUAUGGUCAAUUGUACAGUCAUUGUACAUUGUCAUUCCCUAACUAGAUAUGGGUUAGAUACGAGUCUGUAGAAGAUUGUCCAACAUACUUUCCGCCUCUUAACAUUUCACUUAACGAAUUUCAUUUCAUUUCUUCAUUUUGUGUCUAACAGACUAGAAAUAAUGAGCUCCUAUUGACAGGGAUAUUUUCCUCUUCCUUUACCUUACAGAGCCUUUUAUGUAGCAGAUAUUUAAUGUAAUAAUAGGUCUAAACUAA